rnacentral:rRNA from 1 species
CCUACGGGAGGCAGCAGUGAGGAAUAUUGGUCAAUGGCCGGAAGGCUGAACCAGCCAUGCCGCGUGAAGGUCAGUGCCCUAUGGGCGUUAAACUUCUUUUGUGCGGGAGCAAUAAUGGUCACGUGUGGCCAGACGAGAGUACAGUACGAAUAAGCAUCGGCUAACUACGGGCCAGCAGCCGCGGGAAUACGGGGGAUGCAAGCUUUAUCCGGAUUUGUUGGGUUUAAAGGGUGCGUAGGCGGGAUGCCAAGUCAGCGGUAAAAAUGGGGUGGUCAACGCCGUCGAGCCGUUGAAACUUGCGUUCUAGAUUUGGAGAGAAGUAUGCGGAAUUCGUGGUGUAGCGGUGAAAUGCAUAGAUAUCACGAAGAACUCCGAUUGCGAAGGCAGCAUACCGGCUCCAUACUGACGCUGAGGCACGAAAGCGUGGGGAUCGAACAGGAUUAGAUACCCCAGUAGUC